ACUCCUACGGGAGGCAGCAGUAGGGAAUCUUCCACAAUGGACGAAAGUCAGAUGGAGCAACGCCGCGUGAGCGAUGAAGGCCUUCGGGUCGUAAAGCUCUGUUGUUAGGGAAGAACAAGUACCGGAGUAACUGCCGGUACCUUGACGGUACCUAACCAGAAAGCCACGGCUAACUACGUGCCAGCAGCCGCGGUAAU
rnacentral:rRNA from 1 species